UACGGAGGGAGCUAGCGUUGUUCGGAAUUACUGGGCGUAAAGCGCACGUAGGCGGCUUUGUAAGUUAGAGGUGAAAGCCCGGGGCUCAACCCCGGAAUUGCCUUUAAGACUGCAUCGCUUGAAUCCGGGAGAGGUAAGUGGAAUUCCGAGUGUAGAGGUGAAAUUCGUAGAUAUUCGGAAGAACACCAGUGGCGAAGGCGACUUACUGGACACAUAUUGACGCUGAGGUGCGAAAGCGUGGGGAGCAAACAGG
rnacentral:rRNA from 1 species